UACGGAAGGGGCAAGCGUUGUUCGGAAUCAUUGGGCGUAAAGGGCGCGUAGGUGGUUCUGUAUGUCUACCGUGAAAGCAUACAGCUCAACUGUAUUUUGUCGGUAGAAACUGCAGGACUUGAGGCUGGGAGGGGCUGGUGGAAUUCCCUGUGUAGCGGUGAAAUGCGUAGAGAUGUGGAGGAACACCGAUGGCGAAGGCAGCCCCCUGGGCUAACACUGACGCUCAGGCACGAAAGCGUGGGGAGCAAACAGG
rnacentral:rRNA from 1 species